GUCAGUGUGGUGUAGUGGUUUGAGCACUGCAGUAUUACUCUGGAGACCAGGGUUUGAAUCCCUCCUCAGCCA